rnacentral:rRNA from 1 species
AACGAACGCUGGCGGCAUGCCUAACACAUGCAAGUCGAACGAGACCUUCGGGUCUAGUGGCGCACGGGUGCGUAACGCGUGGGAACCUUCCCUUUGGUUCGGAAUAACUCCCCGAAAGGGGUGCUAAUACCGGAUAAUGUCUUCGGACCAAAGAUUUAUCGCAUUUGGAUGGGCCCGCGUUGGAUUAGCUAGUUGGUAGGGUAAAAGCCUACCAAGGCGACGAUCCAUAGCUGGUCUGAGAGGAUGAUCAGCCACACUGGGACUGAGACACGGCCCAGACUCCUACGGGAGGCAGCAGUGGGGAAUAUUGGACAAUGGGCGAAAGCCUGAUCCAGCAAUGCCGCGUGAGUGAUGAAGGCCUUAGGGUUGUAAAGCUCUUUUACCCGGGAUGAUAAUGACAGUACCGGGAGAAUAAGCUCCGGCUAACUCCGUG